rnacentral:lncRNA from 1 species
CCCGGAGAUCCUCGGCCGCGUGGAGGAGAACCAGCCCCUCUCCUCCAGUGGGGAGACCUGUCUGCAUCAGGCGCAGCCCUGGGCCAGCGCACUAUCUGCCACUUCAUCGUGGAAGCAGGGGCGCCGCCUGAUGAAGACAGACCAGCAGGCGAGCAGCCUCUCCCAGGGGCAGGGGGCACUGGGCCACCCUUCGAGUUUGAAGCUGUCCUCAGCCAACACAGCCUAGACCCUGAGACCUGAGCCGGAAGGCUUCCAAAAAUCUUCGGGAUACCUGAUCGCAGCUUCCUCCGUUCCCAGGGUGACACCCGCCUGGCAGCGGCCGGCAGAAGGCGCAGGACACAGAGCUGGCCGCCACCUGGAGAAUCGACAGCACUACCAGAUGAUCCAACGCGAGGACCAGGAGACGGCCGUGUAGCCCCGGCCUCCGGCCACAUUCCAGUGCGGGCAGAGGGAGGGGGACCCUCCAAGGAAGGAGCUGCCUGAUGACGAGGCUGGACUCUGCGCAGCUGGGGCUGUCACCAGUCCCCCUGAGGCCCCCGCCUGCCCCCAGGGCUUACAGGGAGUAGGAACUCG